GGCUCAGAAUCAACGCUGGCGGCAUGCCUCCCAGAUGCAAGUCGGACGAGAAAGUGGGGGCAACCCUGCGAGUACAGUGGCAGACGGGUGAGUAACACGUGAACAACCUACCCUUGAGAGGGGAAUAACACCGCGAAAGCGGUGCUAAAACCGCAUAAAAUCUGUGGGUCGCAUGACAUACAGAUCAAAAGCGCAAGUUGCUUGAGGAGGGGUUCGCGGCUGAUUAGCUAGUUGGUGAGGUAACGGCCCACCAAGGCGACGAUCAGUAGCCGGCCUGAGAGGGCGAACGGCCACACUGGAACUGAGACACGGUCCAGACUCCUACGGGAGGCAGCAGUGGGGAAUUUUGCGCAAUGGGCGAAAGCCUGACGCAGCAACGCCGCGUGGAGGAUGAAGGCCUUCGGGUCGUAAACUCCUGUCGAUGGGGACGAAAGCCCAGCAAUGGGUUUGACUGUACCCGUUGAGGAAGCCACGGCUAACUCCGUGCCAGCAGCCGCGGUAAUACGGAGGUGGCAAGCGUUGUUCGGAAUUACUGGGCGUAAAGGGCGCGUAGGCGGCCUGACAAGUCAGAUGUGAAAGCCCCGGGCUCAACUCGGGAAUUGCAUCUGAAACUGUUUGGCUUGAGUUCUGGAGGGGGUAGUGGAAUUCCCAGUGUAGCGGUGAAAUGCGUAGAUAUUGGGAGGAACACCUGCGGCGAAGGCGGCUACCUGGACAGUGACUGACGCUGAGGCGCGAAAGCUAGGGGAGCGAACGGGAUUAGAUACCCCGGUAGUCCUAGCCGUAAACGAUGGGCACUUGGUGUUGGGGGUAUUGAGUCCCUCGGUGCCGGAGCUAACGCGAUAAGUGCCCCGC
rnacentral:rRNA from 1 species